rnacentral:misc_RNA from 1 species
GAUGAAGAACGCAGCGAAAUGCGAUACGUAAUGUGAAUUGCAGAAUUCAGUGAAUCAUCGAGUCUUUGAACGCACAUUGCGCCCCCUGGUAUUCCGGGGGGCAUGCCUGUCCGAGCGUCAUUGCUGCCCUCAAGCACGGCUUGUGUGUUGGGCCUCCGUCCUCCUCCCGGGGGACGGGCCCGAAAGGCAGCGGCGGCACCGCGUCCGGUCCUCGAGCGUAUGGGGUUUCGUCACCCGCUCUUGUAGGCCCGGCCGGCGCUUGCCGACACAUCAAUCUUUUUUCCAGGUUGACCUCGGAUCAGGUAUGGAUACCCGCUGAACUUAAGCAUAUCAAUAAGCGGAGGA